rnacentral:ncRNA from 1 species
UCGAUGCUUGGUCAUUCUACAAAUUUGUUUCAUCGUGUGCUGCAACGAACUGGACCAAUAAUAAUCUCUAAAAUAAAGAUGGAAAAAGUGUAACAUGAUUCUUCUCUAAGCAGAAAAUUUAAGAAACGGCUACCACUUCCAAGGAAGGCAGCAGGCGCGCAAAUUACCCACUCUCAGCAAGAGGAGGUAGUGACGAAAAAUAACGAGACCGUUCUCAUUGAGGCCGGUUAUCGGAAUGGGUACAAUUUAAGCCUGUUAAGUACCGAGUGAUUGUUGAAAAUCGUUGCCACGUAUGCUGUAUAUUGUAUAUGCUCUUCGUUUCACGUAUAU